rnacentral:rRNA from 1 species
UACGGAGGGUGCAAGCGUUGUUCGGAAUUAUUGGGCGUAAAGAGCGUGUAGGCGGCCGGGUAAGUCAGAUGUGAAAGCCCUUGGCUUAACCAAGGAAGUGCAUUUGAAACUGCUUGGCUUGAGUACGGGAGGGGGAAGUGGAAUUCCUGGUGUAGAGGUGAAAUUCGUAGAUAUCAGGAGGAACACCGGUGGCGAAGGCGGCUUCCUGGACCGAUACUGACGCUGAGACGCGAAAGCGUGGGGAGCAAACAGGAUUAGAUACCCUGGUAGUCCACGCCGUAAACUUUGGGCACUAGGUGUUGCGGGUAUUGACCCCUGCAGUGCCGAAGCUAACGCAUUAAGUGCCCCGCCUGGGGAGUACGGCCGCAAGGCUA